CUGGUUCUGCGAGCCGAUUGUGUUUUCGUACCGUCGCCUUUGCAAUGUUGGGAGCAGAGUGAGCAGGUGUGGGGAGUCCUGAAAGACUGGUUACAUUACGGAGGUCAUCUGGCAUCCAGAGAAAGCUACUGCUUCAUCAAGCAGUUCUCCACCCUGCUGUAAUUAAAUACCUUGAAUUUUCUUUCUUUCCCCCAUGUAAAUGAAGGACUUCGUGGUCUUCUCUAAAAGUUUCUGUUCUGACU
rnacentral:lncRNA from 1 species